UACGUAGGGGUCGAGCGUUGUCCGGACUUACUGGGCGUAAAGCGUGGGUAGGUGGUCGGUGAUGUGCCGUGUGAAAGCCCCGCGUUCAUCGGGGGGAGGUCGCGGUAGACACAUUGACUUGAGGCAUACAGAGGCCGUGGAAUUCCCGGUGUAGUGGUGAAAUGCGUAGAUAUCGGGAGGAACACCAGUGGCGCGAGCGGCGGCCUGGGUAUGACCUGGACACUGAGCCACGGACGGCGUGGGGAGCCAAACGGG
rnacentral:rRNA from 1 species